UAACCACUCAAGCUCUCGCUUGGUAUUGGGGUUCGCGUCCUCGCGGCCCCUAAAAUCAGUGGCGGUGCCUGUCGGCUCUACGCGUAGUAAUACUCCUCGCGAUUGAGUCCGGCUGGUCUACUUGCCAACAACCCCCAAAUCUUUACA
rnacentral:misc_RNA from 1 species